AUUGAACGCUGGCGGCAUGCCUUACACAUGCAAGUCGAACGGUAACGCGGGGGCAACCCUGGCGACGAGUGGCGAACGGGUGAGUAAUACAUCGGAACGUACCCAGUAGUGGGGAUAGCUCGGCGAAAGCCGGAUUAAUACCGCAUACGACCUAUGGGUGAAAGCGGGGGAUCGCAAGACCUCGCGCUAUUGGAGCGGCCGAUGUCGGAUUAGCUAGUUGGUGAGGUAAAGGCCACCAAGGCUACGAUCCGUAGCUGGUCUGAGAGGACGACCAGCCACACUGGGACUGAGACACGGCCCAGACUCCUACGGGAGGCAGCAGUGGGGAAUUUUGGACAAUGGGCGCAAGCCUGAUCCAGCCAUGCCGCGUGUGUGAAGAAGGCCUU
rnacentral:rRNA from 1 species